UACGGGGGGGGCAAGCGUUGUUCGGAAUUACUGGGCGUAAAGGGCUCGUAGGUGGCCAACUAAGUCAGACGUGAAAUCCCUCGGCUUAACCGAGGAACUGCGUCUGAUACUGGAUGGCUUGAGUUUGGGAGAGGAAUGCGGAAUUCCAGGUGUAGCGGUGAAAUUCGUAGAUAUCGGGAGGAACACCGGUGGCGAAGGCGGCGACCUGGGUCGACACUGACGCUGAGGCGCGAAAGCGUGGGGAGCAAACAGG
rnacentral:rRNA from 1 species